GGGAACCAGACCAGCCGGGCUCACAAGUAUGAAGAGAAUGUCGGGAGAGGAAGUGGUCGCUCUGAGUCAGCAUGAGUCAUCUGGUUCCAGUGACAAUGAAGACUGAGGCAAGCUGCGCAUACCUUGGGAUCUUCACAGCAUAGUGGCUGGGAAGGCGGACCGUCUACCAGCUUCUCCCUGAAUAACUGGGAGCUGAAACAGGAAGCCCCAUGACACAGUUGAUCGAAAAUGACACAGACACAGAAAAAUCAGGACGUGCCCCCAGCACCACCCCUACCUGCUGCCUGCUGAUCACAGCUGGGAGGCCCGUGAAGGGUUUCCACCUGGGAAUGGAUUCUAACUACUCCGUGCUCAUGGGUGAUGGGCCUGCAGUGCUUUGGUGAUGCUCUUUUACAGCUGGUUUGUUAUUUUUUUAAUUAAUUAGCUAAUCUAUUAUUUAUUUAUUGGCCCUCUUCCAUGUCUUGGUCCUGUCUUCAUUAAAAGCAAAA